rnacentral:rRNA from 1 species
AUGAUAGACCGUUUUCAUGGAGAUGAAGUAAUCUACCAUAGCUUUGACAUUGCAGAGGACGACCCAUAUGGCUACUACGCUCAGGAGUUUCUUAAUGGAUUGACUCCUAAUGGUCUUCCUCUGCAUGCACUCAAGCUAAAGCUGAACUGCCCUGUCAUACUUCUAAGGAACAUUGAUCCAGCUAAUGGACUGUGUAACAGCACUAGGCUUGUUGUAAGAGGUUUUGAGAGGAACACCAUUGAUGCAGAAAUCGUGAUUGGUCAACACGCUGGCAGGAGGGUCUUCCUUCCUCGAAUACCUCUCUGCCCAUCUGAAAACGACAUGUUUCCGUUCAAGUUUAAGAGAAAGCAAUUUCCUAUAAGGCUUAGCUUUGCUAUGACCAUUAACAAGGCUCAAGGG